rnacentral:lncRNA from 10 species
CCAGGCGAGCACAGCGAAGGGUGCGCGGGAUUGCCAAGCCAGUUCCUCUUGAUGGCAGUAUUGCUCCAGAAAUGCCCACCUGCCCUUCCCCCACGUCCACUCCCUCCGCCCUUUGCUGAGGAAAAAACGAAUAAAUAAAUAAAUAAAUAAAUAAAUAAAAAAGCAGGACAUUAAACCUGCCACCUCCAGAGGGUCCUCUAAUUUGAGCCCGGGAGGUCAAGGCUGCAGUGAGCCAAGAUUGCACCACUGCACUCCAGCCUGGGCAACGAAAUGAGACCCUGUCUUAAAAAAAUAAAAAUACCUCCGGGCACGGUGGCUCACGUCUGUAAUCCCAGCACUUUAGGAGACCAAGGUGGGUGGAUCACGAGAUCAGGAGUUCAAGACCAGCCUGUCCAACAUGGUAAAACCCCGUCCCUACUAAAAAUACAAAAAUUAGCUGAGUGUGGUGGUGGGCACCUGUAAUCCCAGCUACUCGGGAGGCUGAGUAAUUGCUUGAACCUGGGAGGCGGAGGUUGCAGUGAGGUGAGACCAUGCCACUGCACUCCAGCCUGGGUGACAGAGUGAGACUCUGUCUCAAAAAAACAAUAAUAAUAAUACAAAUAAAGAGUUGAUUAUGGUCACAUUCACAGAGCUAUAAUUUCUUGGGUUUCAAGAGAGGAUUGAAGAAAGGUGAUUUUUGUUUAAAGUACUGUAAAAAUAUUCAGCAGCUUUAUUGAGGUACAAGGUAUCAAUUUUUAAUGGGCCUUUGAAUCAGAAUGUAAUAAGUGGAAGGAAGUUCUGAAAGAAGUGCACUAUACUGUUGACAAGGUCACCUCUGGGAAUGGCAUAAAGAUUAGGACUGGUGAACAAAGGUGACCUUCAUUAAUUUCUUCAGCAAACAUUUGUUGAACACCUAGUGUAUGUUCAUCAUGUCCUUAAUGUAGAAAGUAAAGCCAGUAAAUAGACCAAAAAAAAUCCCGAUUCAUGUGGAGGUCACAUUCUAGUAGAGGAGACUGAUAAAAUAGGAUCAAUAAGAUAUGUAUGUAUCAUUAUAGUCAUAUGUGCUACACAGCAAACUAAGCAGGGAAGGGGAACACUGUGGGGUGAGUGUGGGAUUUGCACUUCUGGGUAGAUUGUGCUGCUAAGGGCUUGCUGAGAAGGAGACACCAGGGGAAAGAUCUGAGGGAGGAGAUGUAGGAGCUCUGUGGCUAUCUGGGGAUGGGGGUUGCAAUGAGAGAGAGUAUCCUAAGCUUCCCAUGGAUUUUUCCCUGUCAAUGUAUUCAUCACUGACAAAUAGUAAUGUUCCCCAAUUUUGAUGCAAGAGGUGCUGCGUUGUUGUUUGGUAGUGUGAAUUGGUCAGGAUUAAGGCCACAGUUACCUUCAUGGUUCACACAAUUAGGACAUGGUUUCAGACCUUUGAUGCUUUGAACAAAUUGAGGCUAUAGCCACGCAUAAUAACUGUGUAUGCUUCUAUAAAAUGGAUGUUUUGGGAAUAUGUAUAAACAGAUCCUUGCAAUAACCUCUCACUUAAGUGGUUCAGUCCAGUUUUGUAAGGUGUUUAUAGCUACUUGAGUAACAAUGCUGUAUGAAUUCCAAACUGUUGCUUCACACCCAAUGUCAGGAUACUCAACCAUGAUUGGAAUCAAUAAACUACAGGUGAGAACAGAUUUCCGUGUGUUUGGAUGUGGACCUAAGAGAUUAUUUAUUUCAUUAACUUCAGAAAAGGAACAAUGGCUUAAGUAAGCAGAAAAGCCUGUUCAGUAUCUUUGACCACAAGUCUGAAUCCCAGACAUUACCAUAUGAGGUUACUAAUUGGUCAUAGUUGAUUACAUCACAAUAGGUGUGUCUCUAUAAAGGCCAGACCAGCUUCAGCCUUAGGCUAAUUUCUCCCCAGGGUGUGUAGUGGCUUGAAGGUCUUUUUAAAUUGUUGUUGUUAUGUUUUUAUUUUAUUUUACUUUAUUUUUAAAUAGAGAUGAGGUCUUGCUAUGUUGUCCAGGCUGGUCUCAAACUCCUGGGCUCAAGCAGCUCGCCUGUCUUGGCCUCCCAAAGUGCAGGGAUUGCAGAUGUGAGCCACCAUGCUUGGCCCUUGCUAUAUUUUAACUGGGAAACAAUUUGAGGUGAUCCUGUCUGUCCCCUUGGAUUACUGAAAAAAGGACCCUCCUGGCAUUCUACACUGGGAUCUCUGAAGGCUGUGUGAACCUUCCCAUGUGAGGUGCACUCUGCUGUGUGGCCUUCUGGUUAAGCAGUUUUAUUUACACCUUACUGAAAUUGCUGUUGGAAAUGAUCCAGCAUAAACUUAUUUGUGGUGCAUUUCAAGAAAGAAAACUACAUCUGUAGCAUGCCAAUUAUAUAUUAUUCUUUUCUCCAUAGCACAGAGUAGGCUCACAGUAACAAUCAAAGGUAAAUAGUUUAUUAUUUAUGAUGUAUUCUUCUUUGUGGUUUUAAUAAUACAUGCUUACUGUGGGC